rnacentral:rRNA from 1 species
UACGGGGGGAGCAAGCGUUGUUCGGAUUUACUGGGCGUAAAGGGCGCGUAGGCGGCCACCGCAAGUCGACUGUGAAAUCUCCGGGCUUAACCCGGAAAGGUCAGCCGAUACUGCGGGGCUAGAGUGCAGAAGGGGCAACUGGAAUUCUCGGUGUAGCGGUGAAAUGCGUAGAUAUCGAGAAGAACACUUAGGGCGUAGGCAAGACUCUGGACAAAUGCUGACGCUCAUGCACGAAGGCUAGGGUAGCGAACGGG